GAGAGGGAGAGAGAGUACAAGACACCCUGAAACCGCCCAGGGGUAAACGGGUAGGACCGCUCACCACGAUCGCGAGGGGACUCAGUCCGUUGCUUCCCGCCGAG